AAUAAUUGCUACAAGAUGUUAACGAACUAUAAAACAUCAACUAUGACAAAAACAAAAUAUAUCUAGGAUGAUCAUUCUCAGAAUAAUUACAGUCAGUGGCGUAGCCAGGGUUGAAAUGGAUGCUUUGCCCAGCGGAGCGAGGCAAACAAAUUUUUGGACUUUUUUAUGCAGAAAAUUAUUUUUUAUUUAAGCACAUGUACCCCCCAGAAUCCGACACUAGUUAGAUUUUAGUUUAAAAUUCAAAAUACCCACCAAUUCAUAUUUUUAACCAAAUUUUAUUGUUUCCUCGGAACUACCAUCAUUUAAUUCAUAAAUAUUUGAUGUAAAGUUUCCCACCCAAUCUUAUAUUUGACAUCAAAAACGGACCCCUUUAGAGCGGCACUUCUGUAUAAUUUAGGAACUUCGGAAUAUAGGAACUGAAGUGAUUUCUCUUACCAGGAAUUUGAGUCUACAACUUUGGGUUUUUGAUUUUUGAUUAUUUACUGAGAUAAACACGUUGCAGAGACAUAAAAAAAUCAGGGCGUCCAAACAUCCGGUCUUGUUAGCACUCUCAUGUGUACAAUUCUUGUCAGAUUAAGUGAAACUCAUUACUCAUAUCAUAAGCAAUGUCUUUGACAAUUUAGAAAAUAAGUCGUAAUCAAAUAUUUUUAACCAGUUAUGACCCUUUGAAAUUUAAACUGUAAUAGAAAUCC
rnacentral:lncRNA from 1 species